GAAAGUAAAGAAGGGCGCAUGGCGGAUGCCUUGGCUCUCGGAGGCGAUGAAGGACGUGAUAAGCUGCGAUAAGCUUUGGGGAGGUGCAAAUGACCUUUGAUCCAGAGAUUUCCGAAUGGGACAACCCAAUAUCUUGAAGAGGUAUUAUCCAACGUUGUUGGAGGCUAACGCAGGGAACUGAAACAUCUUAGUACCUGCAGGAAAAGAAAAUAAACAAUGAUUCCCCCAGUAGUGGCGAGCGAACGGGGAACAGCCCAAACCAUCCAUGUUACGGCAUGUGUGGGGUUGUAGGACUACGCCGUUGCAUGAAGACAUCAGAGAAGAACUUUCUGGAAAGAAAGACCAUAGAGCAUGACAGUUGCGUAUUCGAAUGUUGUCGAAGCAUAGUAGUAUCCUGAGUAGCGCGGAGCACGAGGAAUUCUGCGUGAAUCUGCCGGGACCAUCCGGUAAGGCUAAAUACUCCCGAGAGACCGAUAGCGAACCAGUACCGUGAGGGAAAGGUGAAAAGCACUUCGAACAGAAGAGUGAAAUAGUUCCUGAAACCGUGCGCCUACAAGCGGUCGGAGCUCGUUAAUGAGUGACGGCGUGCCUUUUGCAUAAUGAACCUACGAGUUGCCUUUGCCGGCAAGGUUAAGUGUGACGACACACGUAUCCGAAGCGAAAGCGAGUCUGAAUAGGGCGUAUAGUCGGCAGUGGCAGACGCGAAACCAAGUGAUCUACCCUUGGCCAGGUUGAAGGCUGGGUAACACCAGCUGGAGGACCGCACCAAUAAGCGUUGAAAAGCUUCUGGAUGAGCUGAGGGUAGGGGUGAAAGGCUAAUCAAACUUGGAGAUAGCUCGUACUCCCCGAAAUGCAUUUAGGUGCAGCCUUGCGGGUUACUGAUGUGAGGUAGAGCGACUGAUAAGAUGCGAGGGCUUCACCGCCUAUCAAGUCUUGACAAACUCCGAAUGCGCAUCAGUUCUACCGCAGGAGUGAGGGCAUGGGUGCUAAGGUCCGUGCCCGAGAGGAGAAGAAUCCGGACCACCUGCUAAGGUCCCGAAAUGACAGCUAAGUUAAACUAACGAAGUCUGACUGCUAAGACAGCUAGGAUGUUGGCUUGGAAGCAGCCAUUCAUUUAAAGAGUGCGUAACAGCUCACUAGUCGAGGAGUCGGGCGUGGAUAAUAAUCGGGUAUCAAGUUGUCUACCGAAGCAGUGGGAUCAUUUAUAUGAUCGGUAGGGGAGCAUUCCAGUCAGCGUCGAAGGCGUACCGUGAGGUAUUCUGGAGCGUCUGGAAAAGCAAAUGUAGGUAUAAGUAACGAUAAAGGGGGCGGGAAACCCCCUCGCCGAAAGACUAAGGUUUCCUGAUCAACGCUAAUCGGAUCAGGGUCAGUCGGGUCCUAAGGCUCAGCCGAACGGCGAUGCCGAUGGCAGAAACGGUUAAUAUUCCGUUACUACCUUCAGGAGUGACGUGGAGACGCAGUAGUGACAGUGCCGCCAUCUGACGGAAUAGAUGGUUGAAGGGUGUAGGAGUCGAUCAUGGCAGGCAAAUCCACCAUGAGAUCCGAACCUGACAGUAUGCCGCGUCCUUCGGGACAAGGCAAUAGUGCGCGUAAGCAUGCUGCCGAGAAAAUCCGCUAAACUUAAUCCUGCAGGUACCCGUACCGCAAACGGACACACGUAGUCGGGAUGAAUAUUCUAAGGCGCUUGAGUGAUUCACGGUUAAGGAACUAGGCAAACUGACCCUGUAACUUCGGGAUAAAGGGUCCCUACCCUUUUAUGGGAGGGCGCAGAGAAUCGGUCCAGGCAACUGUUUAACAAAAACACAGGGCUGUGCCAAAUCGAAAGAUCCAGUAUACAGCCUGACACCUGCCCGGUGCUGGAAGGUUAAGAGGAGAUGUCAUCGAUGAGAGAAGCGUUGAAUUGAAGCCCCAGUAAACGGCGGCCGUAACUAUAACGGUCCUAAGGUAGCGAAAUUCCUUGUCGGGUAAGUUCCGACCUGCACGAAUGGUGUAAUGAUCUGGACGCUGUCUCAACCGUGAGCUCAGUGAAAUUGUAGUAUCGGUGAAGAUGCCGAUUACCCGCGAUGGGACGAAAAGACCCCGUGAACCUUUACUAUAGCUUAUCAUUGAAUCUGGGCACGUGAUGUGUAGGAUAGGUCGGAGGCUUUGAAGCAGGUACGCCAGUAUUUGUGGAGCCGCUGUUGAAAUACGACCCUUUAUUUGUUUGGAUUCUAACCCGUGGAACGGGGACAUUGAUUGGUGGGUAGUUUGACUGGGGUGGUCGCCUCCAAAAGCGUAACGGAGGCUUCUA
rnacentral:rRNA from 1 species